CGGAGUGCUGGGUACAUGCACCAUGGCCUGGACCCCUCUCUCACUCCUCUUCCUCGCUUUCUGCGCAGGCUCCAUGGUCUCCAGUGAGCUGACUAAGCCACACUCAGUGUCAGUGGCCCUGGGACAGAUGGCUACAAUCACCUGCACUGGAGAGGAACUGGACAAUGUUGUACAGUGGUACGAGCAGAAGCCACGCCAAGCCCCUCUGAUGGUCAUUUAUGAUGAUAGCGAGAGGACCUCAGGGAUCCCAGAGUGAUUCUCUGGCUCCACAUCAGGAAACACAGCCACCCUGACCAUCAGUGGGGUCCAGGAUGAGGAUGAGGCUGACUAUUACUGUCAGUCCUAUGACAGCAGUGGUG